rnacentral:rRNA from 2 species
AACUAACAAGGAUUCCCUUAGUAACUGCGAGUGAAGAGGGAAAAGCUCAAAUUUAAAAUCUGGCAGUGUUUCACUGUCCGAGUUGUAACCUAGAGAAGUGUAACCUGUGCUGGACCGUGUAUAAGUCUCCUGGAAUGGAGCAUCAUAGAGGGUGAGAAUCCCGUCUUUGACAUGGACUACCAGUGCAUUGUGGUUGCGCUCUCAACGAGUCGAGUUGUUUGGGAAUGCAGCUCUAAAUGGGUGGUAAAUUCCAUCUAAAGCUAAAUAUUGGCGAGAGACCGAUAGCGAACAAGUACCGUGAGGGAAAGAUGAAAAGAACUUUGGAAAGAGAGUUAAACAGUAUGUGAAAUUGUUGAAAGGGAAACGUUUGAAGUCAGUCGCGUUGGUUGGGGAUCAGCCUGACAUUGUUGGGUGUACUUCCUGGUUGACGGGCCAACAUCAGUUUUGACUGCCAGAAAAAGGCCAAAGGAAUGUGGCACCUUUGGGUGUGUUAUAGCCCUUGGUCGUAUAUGGUGGUUGGGACUGAGGAAAGCAGCGUGCCGAAAGGCCGGGUUUCGACCACGUUCACGCUGAGGAUGUUGGCAUAAUGGCUUUAAGCGACCCGUCUUGAAACACGGACCAAGGAGUCUAACAUGCGUGCGAGUGUUUGGGUGGAAAACCCUUACGCGUAAUGAAAGUGAAAGUUGAGAUCCCUGUCGCGGGGAGCAUCGACGCCCGGACCAGAACUUUUGGGACGGAUCUGCGGUAGAGCAUGUAUGUUGGGACCCGAAAGAUGGUGAACUAUGCCUGAAUAGGGUGAAGCCAGAGGAAACUCUGGUGGAGGCUCGUAGCGAUUCUGACGUGCAAAUCGAUCGUCAAAUUUGGGUAUAGGGGCGAAAGACUAAUCGAAC